GUGCCAGCCGCCUCGGUAAUACCGGCAGCUCGAGUGAUGGCCACUCUUAUUGGGCCUAAAGCGUCCGUAGCUGGCCGCGCAAGUCCAUCGGAAAAUCCACCCGCCCAACGGGUGGGCGUCCGACGGAAACUGCACAGCUUGGGACCGGAAGGCUCGAAGGGUACGUUCGGGGUAGGAGUGAAAUCCUAUAAUCCCGCACGGACCACCGAUGGCGAAAGCACUUCGAGAAAACGGAUCCGACAGUGAGGGACGAAAGCCAGGGUCUCCAACCGGAUUAGAAACCCUGGUAGUCC
rnacentral:rRNA from 1 species